GUGGUAAUAUGUUGUUGUAUUGUGUGGUUGUGGUGGUAAUAUGUUGUUAUAUUGUGUGGUUUUGGUGGUAAUAUGUUGUUGUAUUGUGUGGUUGUGGUGGUAAUAUGUUGUUGUAUUGUGGUUGUGGUGGUAAUAUGUUGUUGUAUUGUGGUUGUGGUGGUAAUAUGUUGUUGUAUUGUGGUUGUGGUGGUAAUAUGUUGUUGUAUUGUGUGGUUGUGGUGGUAAUAUGUUGUUGUAUUGUGGUUGUGGUGGUAAUAUGUUGUUGUAUUGUGGUUGUGGUGGUAAUAUGUUGUUGUAUUGUGGUUGUGGAGGUAAUAUGUUGUUGUAUUGUGGUUAAGGUGGUAAUAUGUUGUUGUAUUGUGGUGGUAAUAUGUUGUUGUAUUGUGUGUUUGUGGAGGUAAUAUGUUGUUGUAUUGUGUGGUUGUGGAGGUAAUAUGUUGUUGUAUUGUGGUUGUGGUGGUAAUAUGUUGUUGUAUUGUGUGUUUGUGGAGGUAAUAUGUUGUUGUAUUGUGUGUUUGUGGAGGUAAUAUGUUGUUGUAUUGUGUGGUUGUAGUGGUAAUAUGUUGUUGUAUUGUGUGGUUGUGGAGGUAAUAUGUUGUUGUAUUGUGGGGUUGUGGUGGUAAUAUGUUGUUGUAUUGUGGUUGUGGUGGUAAUAUGUUGUUGUAUUGUGUGGUUGUAAUAUGUUGUUGUAUUGUGUGGUUGUGGUGGUAAUAUGUUGUUGUAUUGUGGUUGUGGUGGUAAUAUGUUGUUGUAUUGUGUGGUUGUGGUGGUAAUAUGUUGUUGUAUCGUGUGGUUGUGGAGGUAAUAUGUUGUUGUAUUGUGUGGUUGUAAUAUGUUGUUGUAUUGUGGUUGUGGUGGUAAUAUGUUGUUGUAUUGUGGUGGUAAUAUGUUGUUGUAUUGUGGUUGUGGUAGUAAUAUGUUGUUGUAUUGUGGUUGUGGUGGUAAUAUGUUGUUGUAUUGUGGUUGUGGUGGUAAUAUGUUGCUGUAUAUAGUAUGGUUGUGGUAUUGUGUUAGUAUGUUGUUGUUUAUAUUGCGCUUGUAGUGAAUGGUAAUAUGUCGCAGAUUUUACAUUGGAAGAGGGAUUAGUAAUUAAUUAAAGUUGUUUCAUUUAAGUAAGUCUGUCUCUUGUCUGUUUUCUGGCAUCAGCUGUGCUGAGUUCUUACUGAAACCACUAGAAUCAACAGGCGGUGUAUCAACUCAGGGCCGACGCAUGAUCAAGAUACCAGUCACUCGUUGAGGAAAGAAAUAUUUAUUAAUAACUGUAGUAAUCAUGAUAAUAACUGCACUAACAGUGAUAAUAAUUUAAC
ensembl:lncRNA